rnacentral:tRNA from 1 species
GAGGGUAUGGCUCAGUGGUAGAGCACAUGCUUAGCAUACACAAGGACCUGGGUUCAAUUCCCAGUACCUACU